rnacentral:rRNA from 1 species
GAUGAACGCUAGCUACAGGCUUAACACAUGCAAGUCGAGGGGAAACGACAUCGAAAGCUUGCUUUUGAUGGGCGUCGACCGGCGCACGGGUGAGUAACGCGUAUCCAACCUGCCCAUCACUUGGGAAUAACCUUGCGAAAGUAAGACUAAUACCCAAUGACAUCCCACGAAGACAUCUGAAUGGGAUUAAAGAUUUAUCGGUGAUGGAUGGGGAUGCGUCUGAUUAGCUUGUUGGCGGGGUAACGGCCCACCAAGGCAACGAUCAGUAGGGGUUCUGAGAGGAAGGUCCCCCACAUGGGAACUGAGACACGGUCCAAACUCCUACGGGAGGCAGCAGUGAGGAAUAUUGGUCAAUGGGCGAGAGCCUGAACCAGCCAAGUAGCGUGCAGGAUGACGGCCCUAUGGGUUGUAAACUGCUUUUAUAAGGGAAUAAAGUGGGUCUCGUGAGACUUUUUGCAUGUACCUUAUGAAUAAGGACCGGCUAAUUCCGUG